AUAAGUAUUUUGGUUUCUUUUAAAACUAAGAAUUAAAAGAGAAUUGUGUUAGAAUCACAAACGGACCGGCCACUGUAUUUGGUUAGGACUUUUCAUUACCACUGGGAAACUGGGAAGGGAAAAGUAUUUAAGCCAUAAGUCAGGAGAACUGCCAAGAUAUAUUU
rnacentral:ncRNA from 1 species